UUUAUGUGUGUAUUUACAUCUAUCCAAUCAUCAAAUGAUAAAAACGCUUACAUGGGAGAGUUAACGAAUCCAAUAAAAAAUAAUGAAAACUUUAAAGAGAAUGUUAUAAAUUAUAUUGAAAAAAUUGUAAAAGAUUAUAGUGAUGAUAUAAGUAUUAUAAAAAGUGAUAUACAUAAUAUUUUUUAGAUAUCGAAGGAGCAUUUGAAAAAUUAUCUGAUGAUGUUGCAAAAACUUUAUCAGAUUAUGGUUACUCCAUUGAGGUAGAACUAAACCGUAUAGAAGGUGUUGUCGAAUUGUUUGUUGAAAGUAAUAUUUAAACAAAUAAAUAAAUGAAUGUAUAAACA
rnacentral:lncRNA from 1 species